GGCUCAGAUUGAACGCUGGCGGCAUGCCUUACACAUGCAAGUCGAACGGCAGCACGGGAGCAAUCCUGGUGGCGAGUGGCGAACGGGUGAGUAAUAUAUCGGAACGUGCCCAGUCGUGGGGGAUAACGUAGCGAAAGCUACGCUAAUACCGCAUACGAUCUAUGGAUGAAAGCGGGGGAUCGCAGGACCUCGCGCGAUUGGAGCGGCCGAUAUCAGAUUAGGUAGUUGGUGGGGUAAAAGCUUACCAAGCCUGCGAUCUGUAGCUGGUCUGAGAGGACGACCAGCCACACUGGAACUGAGACACGGUCCAGACUCCUACGGGAGGCAGCAGUGGGGAAUUUUGGACAAUGGGCGCAAGCCUGAUCCAGCAAUGCCGCGUGCAGGAUGAAGGCCUUCGGGUUGUAAACUGCUUUUGUACGGAACGAAACCGGCCCUUUCUAAUACAGGGGGUUAAUGACGGUACCGUAAGAAUAAGCACCGGCUAACUACGUG
rnacentral:rRNA from 1 species